UCUAAAUAUUACUGGCUCGCUGUGAGUCAAGAGACCCACUUACUAUCAUGGUAUGUUCUCCACUUAAAUAAAUGUUAUGUAUUUCUAAAUAAUGAUGUUUUCUUACAUCCUCUUGCCUUUGUUAGAUAAACAAGGAGCCAGACCCCAUAUACUACUUACUUUGUAUGAAUGGCACCCGCAUGACUCUAGGUAAAGGUUAAUUUGUACUUACAUAGCUCUUGGUUGUUCAAAUGCACCUUCCCUCUGCAGGUAUGUCUUUAAGCAGCCGCCAGCAACAUACUCCAUCAGAAAGAAUAGAUGGUAUUCUGACUGGAAGGUGGCGUGGAUAUCCACAAUGAAAGGGUGGUCAGCAACGGCGAAAGCAACCCGUUUCUCUAGCAAGAUCCUGAAUAUUAAAAGCAUUUAUUGUCAAAACAAGCCAGUAGGAAAAGUGUCUCUCUGCCCAUAUGAGCCCUAUUCUUGUCUUAGAUUAUUUAGUGUAGUACUAAUAGGAGAUGUUAGUGCAAGUCCCAAGACACAUCACUAGUUUGGCAUUGCUUUUAUUAUCAGGGUAAUCUCUGAGUGCUAUAGCUGUUUGAAAGGGACAUGGGUAAGUAACAAAGCCAACCAUGCUAAAAUGAUCAUUUCCAUAAACUGACCUUUCAAUGCCCCUUGAGGAGGUGAUGCUCUCUUUUUUCAAUAUUUUCAGGGCAUAGGAUCUUUUGGUUGCCGCGUGUUCAACAAGGAGAACCUGGAAUAAGAGAGAAUCUCAGGAAAUGCAAUAAGAUACAUGCAGAACAUCCAUACCCCUUUAAGAGAUCUGCAAGAAUCGAUCCAUACUUGCCCCCAGCAUUGCAAGCUAACAGAACUAACUGUUUAGCCACUGUUCUUGCAUGUGCCAAUAGUCAUCCUAAUUAUGGAUUAAGUUUAAUAUUACCUUGGCAAAUCCGCCCUCGCCUAGGAAACCACGUUGGUUGAAGUCUUGCAGUAUGUAAUUGGUUAACUGCAAAGCCCUGAAAAAAAAAUACCCAAAAUGAAACUCAUUUUUUAUUUCAAAUGAAAUGUUAAUAGUAUCAUCAUGUGCAGGUUGCAUCUUACUGUGGGUCCUUUGUCACUGCCAGUGGAAAUCCUUCUGCUGCGUUAUCAGGUGGAGUUGGGCUGAUGUUCUCUUCAACCACAGAUAUCUCACUAUAAGGAAAAGUCUCUAAUCGUCAGGCAUGAAGCGACAGCUUGAUAUUUCCAUCUGCCUUACCUCCGAAUGCCGGUGCCGACGCAAAAUGUUAGAAUGUCUGGCACCCAUCUUGACGCUCCUGUAUGAGAAAAAAAAGGUUGGUGUAAGUGGCUGCUUCAGUGGAGAUAAAGAAUACAACUGUUUGUAGCUGCUGGUAAACUACAAGCUCAAGACAAGCACCUCUCUGUAACCUCACUGCUACACAUCUGAGCAGAUACUUAUUCAUGCUGAGAUCAAUGUAUGGAUGGAACAUGGCAGCAACUUAAGCCUUUGCCUGGAUUUGUUGUUGAUCAGUGUAAUACACCCAUUCAGCCCAGGGCAACACCCACAAUCUAUAUCUGGAGAACAUCAUUAUUAAAGGUAGCAUUCUAAGUCUGAUUAUCAACCAUGCUUAAAGGAAAGGCUAAAAUUAAGUAAGCUUUCUCAGAAAGGUCUAUAUAAAUAUACCAGUAAAAACUCAAAGUAAUGCUGCUCUGAGUCCUCAGAGUGCCAGAACAGCUGCUUCAGAGAGA